CCCUUAGAUGUUCUGGGCCGCACGCGCGCUACACUGAUGCAUUCAACGAGCCUAUCCUUGACCGACAGGUCCGGGUAAUCUUUGAAUCUGCAUCGUGACGGGGAUAGAUUAUUGCAAUUAUUAAUCUUCAACGAGGAAUGCCUAGUAAGCGCAAGUCAUCAGCUUGCGUUGAUUACGUCCCUGCCCUUUGUACACACCGCCCGUCGCUCCUACCGAUUGAAUGGUCCGGUGAAGCGUUUGGACUAUGGUUUUCUGACGGUUCGCCAUUGGAUUACCGUGGGAAAUUCGUUAAACCUUAUCAUUUAGAGGAAGGAGAAGUCGUAACA
rnacentral:rRNA from 1 species